rnacentral:misc_RNA from 1 species
UUUACACCGGUGAGUAGCGCUUGGCCGCCAUUUAUUCUUGCAUAAGGUGGGAUGUAAUCAUCGAAUCCCAAAAGUUGAGAGAUGACAUCGACGGUGGUCAGUCCAUUGCUGAACCGCCCAGUCGGUCCUCCGGGGAAGUCGAUCCCGUACGGAGGAUAGUUCGCCCUAGCAAGCGAGGCAAUGUUGUUGUUGUUGCCAUUAUCGACUAGCGAGUCCCCAAAGAUGAAAUAGCAAGGAACCUGCGGAUCCGGUCGA